CCCAGUUCGGAUUGCAGUCUGCAACUCGAGUGCAUGAAGCUGGAAUCGCUAGUAAUCGCGGAUCAGAAUGCCCGCGGUGAAUACGUUCCCGGGUCUUGUACACACCGCCCGUCACACCAUGGGAGCCGACAACGCCCGAAGUCAGUGACCUAACCGAGAGGGAGGAGCUGCCGAAGGCGGGGUUGGUAACUGGGGUGAAGUCGUAACAAGGUAUC
rnacentral:rRNA from 1 species